AUUGAACGCUGGCGGCAGGCCUAACACAUGCAAGUCGAGCGGAUGAAGGGAGCUUGCUCCUGGAUUCAGCGGCGGACGGGUGAGUAAUGCCUAGGAAUCUGCCUGGUAGUGGGGGAUAACGUCCGGAAACGGGCGCUAAUACCGCAUACGUCCUGAGGGAGAAAGUGGGGGAUCUUCGGACCUCACGCUAUCAGAUGAGCCUAGGUCGGAUUAGCUAGUUGGUGGGGUAAAGGCCUACCAAGGCGACGAUCCGUAACUGGUCUGAGAGGAUGAUCAGUCACACCGGAACUGAGACACGGUCCAGACUCCUACGGGAGGCAGCAGUGGGGAAUAUUGGACAAAGGGCGAAAGCCUGAUCCAGCCAUGCCGCGUGUGUGAAGAAGGCCUUCGGAUUGUAAAGCACUUUAAGUUGGGAGGAAGGGCAGUAAGUUAAUACCUUGCUGUUUUGACGUUACCAACAGAAUAAGCACCGGCUAACUUCGUG
rnacentral:rRNA from 1 species